GACGAACGCUGGCGGCGUGCUUAACACAUGCAAGUGGAGCGACGAACCGGGGCUUGCCCCGGGGCAGAGCCGCGAACGGGUGAGUAACACGUGGGUUACCUACCCCAAUGACCGGGACAACCCGAGGAAACUCGGGCUAAUACCGGAUGUGGUCUUCGGACGAAAGGAAGCUUCGGCCUCCGCAUUGGGAUGGGCCCGCGGCGCAUUAGCUUGUUGGUGGGGUAACGGCCUACCAAGGCGACGAUGCGUAGCUGGUCUGAGAGGACGAUCAGCCACACUGGGACUGAGACACGGCCCAG
rnacentral:rRNA from 1 species